CAAUAGCGUAUAUUAAAGUUGUUGCGGUAAAAAAGCUCGUAGUUGGAUUUCUGCUGAGGAUGGGCGGUCCGCUCACUGAGCGUGUAUCUGCUUCAGCCUUGGCAUCCUCUCGUUAAUCGUUUCUGCGCUUGAUUGCGUGGGGCGGGUGGCGGGACUUUUACUUUGAGGAAAUUAGAGUGUUCACGGCAGGCUAUCGCCAGAAUACAUUAGCAUGGAAUAAUACUAUAGGAUCUUGGUCCUAUUUUGUUGGUUUCUAGGAUUAAGAUAAUGAUUAAUAGGGACAAUUGGGGGCAUUCGUAUCAACACGUCAGAGGUGGAAUUCUUGGAUUGUGUUGCGACGAACUACUGCGAAAGCAUUUGCCAAGGAUGUUUUCAUUGAUCAAGAACGAAAGUUAGGGGAUCAAAGACGAUCAGAUACCAU
rnacentral:rRNA from 1 species